rnacentral:snoRNA from 1 species
UGAGUGCCGAUGAUGGUUAUAAAUAUACUUUGAGUAACAACAAUGAAAAGAAUUUAAUCUGAGGCACUUC